rnacentral:lncRNA from 1 species
UUAGUUAUGGGUCUGAGAACCAAGGGUAAGACACCUGCCCUUGAUCAGCUACCCAAUCACUUAUGUACCAUGGUGUCUGUCCAUGUAAGGUCUGUUCAAGAAGAUAGGGAGACUACAGAAUCCUUUUUAUUUGUUCUUGCUUACUAUGAACAGUCCAAUUCCUCUCUAUAUAGCUGAGCUUUUCUCGAAAGGGCAUGUAUAGUUGGGUGGUACAGUUGACUAUUCUGUGUGCUAUGCAAAAGAUUUUGGGUGAUGUAGAGUAAAGUGGAGAGAGAACAUUGCUAACUUCUAGUUAACAAGCACAGUUGACCUUCCAUGUGGCUUCUGCCCUUAGGCCCUAAAAUCCAGGACACUAGAAUAUGUGAUGCACAGACUGAUCCUGGGGGGAAAGAAACUCUCUGACAUAUCAUCUAGGAUUCCUGUCAUUUUAGUUUUGUGAAGUAAGAAAUUAAGGAUCCAAAUUCGGUUCUUUCAUUAUAAGUCAUGUAUCUGGGUUUUAAUUCUGAAGUAUAUUUUUCAGAUAGACCAGGCCAAAUUAAGUCACUUAAAAUGAGUGAAGUACAAUAUGAGGGGGCUAGUAUUCUAUUUCUUUAUGAUUAGUUAGAGGCUUGUAUAUUGUUGUGUUCUGUUGUAAAAAUGUAUUUCAUUGUGGCUGAUCUGCUAGGGAUUGACACAGACUAAGAAUGUGUGUUUUUUAUUGAAAAGAAUGUGGGUUUGUUGGGGUAGGUUUUUCUCCAGUUUUCUUCAGUUAUUUAAUUUUACAAAAUGUUUAACUUUAGGUUAAUUUAAGCUUUCUUAUUGUUACAGAAUUUUUUUGAUUAGAUACAUGAACUGAUUUUGCUAGUUAAUCUCGAAU